GAGUUUCCAGUCUUGGUAUUUUUUGUUUAUGCCCAAAUCCUGAUUCAAUUCGGAUUUAAAUCGCCAUACAAACGGGGUAUAAGGAAAAUCAAAUUUGUUUUAAUUAAAAUGUUUUUAAACUUUCGGUCACUCUUCAAUUUAUUGAGGUAUCAAUCAAAAAUAGAACUACUUACCGGAAAAUUUACAACAGCCGCUCAUUUAGAAUUACAUCCUGAAAAUUACUCUAGUAUUCCAAUAGAAAGAAUACGUAAUUUUAGCAUAAUUGCACAUGUAGAUCACGGAAAAAGCACUCUAGCCGAUCGAUUGCUAGAACUUACUGGUGCAAUAUCGAAAAAUUCUGGAAAUCGGCAAGUUUUAGAUAGUUUGCAAGUCGAAAGAGAACGAGGGAUUACUGUGAAGGCUCAGACGGUAUCAAUUGUACACGAAUAUAAAAAUGAAACCUAUCUGCUGAAUUUGAUUGAUACGCCUGGACACGUAGACUUUUCCAGUGAAGUUUCAAGGUCGCUCGCAGCAUGUGAUGGUGUUAUUCUAUUAGUAGACGCCUGCCAUGGAGUUCAAGCUCAAACGGUUGCCAACUAUCAGCUGGCAAAUUCAAGAAAUCUAGCCGUAGUUCCCGUAUUAAAUAAAAUUGAUCUUAAACAUGCGAACCCAGAACGUGUCAUUAAGGAUCUAUAUUCAUUGUUUGGAAUCAAACCGCAUCGAAUCUUAAAAAUAUCAGCUAAACUAGGGAAGGGAAUCCCUGAACUUCUCGAAAACGUAAUUGAAAAUAUACCUCCACCAAACGUGAACCGAGAAAGCCAAUUUAGAGCACUUGUAUUUGAUAGUUGGUUUGACAAAUAUCGUGGAGCAUUAAAUCUUAUUUACGUACAUAAUGGAUCCCUUAAAACUGGCGAGGAGAUUCAAUCGCUUACAUCGGGGAAGUCAUAUCCUGUUAAAUCGAUUUCCAUACUUCGGCCCAUUGAAACGCCCGUAACAAAUAUAUCUGCUGGCCAAGUGGGUUUAAUUUCUUGUAAUAUGCGGAAUAGCAAAGAAUCCAUCAUCGGCGACACCAUACACCUAAAAAACACCAAAACUACUUCUCUUACAAGUUUCAAGCCUCAGCAACCUAUGGUAUACGCAGGAAUUUUUCCAUCUGAUCAGUCAAAGCAUGUUAGUUUACGAGGGGCUAUAGAUAAGUUGAUUUUGAAUGAUUCAGCGGUAACUGUCAAAAUAGACUCAAGUCCAGCACUAGGACAAGGUUGGAGACUAGGUUUUCUUGGGUUACUUCAUAUGGAAGUUUUUUGCCAAAGACUUGAACAAGAGUAUGCAGCUGAACCUAUAAUUACAGCACCAUCUGUGACCUAUCUGAUCGUUCUAAAAAAUCAUACAAUGAUUAAGAAAUUAGGAAAAAAAACAUUGGAACUCUCUAAUGCCGCAUUGUUUCCAGAACCCCAAGAUGUUGAGGAAUAUUAUGAGCCGCUUGUUAUUGGAACUAUAAUUACACCGACAAAAUUUUUAGGAGAAAUUAUAAGUCUAUGUGUUGAUCGAAGGGGCGUACAAAAAAGUUCUGUUAACAUCGACGACGACCGUAUUUUAAUGAAGUACAUUCUGCCAUUAGGUGAGAUAAUUUUCGACUUCAAUGACCGACUUAAAUCACUUAGUUCUGGCUUUUCGAGUUUUAACUAUGAAGAUCAUGGAUAUCAGAUUACAAGUGUUGUUCGAUUAGACAUCCACCUAAAUGGAAAAAAGGUAGAGGAAUUUUCUCGGAUAGUACAUUGUACAAAGGCAACCGCUGUUGGCAAGGAUAUAGUUGCACGACUAAAAGAGCUUAUACCAAGGCAAAUGGUCCAGAUAGCUAUACAGGCAUGUGUUGGAAAUAAAAUUCUCGCAAGAGAGACUAUUAAAGCGUACCGAAAGGAUGUCACGGCAAAAUUAUAUGGUGGAGAUGUAACGAGAAGAAUGAAACUGUUAAAGCAACAAGCUGAAGGAAAAAAAAAAAUGAGAAUGUUUGCAAAUAUAAGGGUGCCACAUGAGACUUUUGUUAAUGUUUUAAAAAGAUGAUCAAAUACAAACAAUAAUUAAUUAUGAAUUAAAUAUUUAACAAUUUAACAUGAAAGGCGAUUCAAUGACCAAUAACAAGUUUAUAAAGAGUGAAGAAGGUAAAAAAAAAGAAGAAGAAAAGUGAAGUAAAAUGAAAGAAAGUGUGAUGGCUGGCUAUCCUUCGGUGUUAAAAAUACAUGACUGAUCGAACGAAAUCACUUUUUAAUUUUAUUUUUAUUUAUUUCAUCAAGCAGUGUUAUAAAUCUCUAAUAGCCUACAGAAUAAAAUGACGAUUGUAAUAAAUAAAUUCGAACCACCUGUUGAAAUUCAAAUUAAAUUAACAAAAUGUAUACAAAACUUGGGGUUGUUACUUGUUAACCCAAAUUGAAUUCUCAAUUUAUUAUUUUGUUGUAACAUACCUAAUUCC